rnacentral:rRNA from 1 species
GAUGAACGCUGGCGGCGUGCCUAAUACAUGCAAGUCGAGCGAACAGACGAGGAGCUUGCUCCUCUGACGUUAGCGGCGGACGGGUGAGUAACACGUGGAUAACCUACCUAUAAGACUGGGAUAACUUCGGGAAACCGGAGCUAAUACCGGAUAAUAUAUUGAACCGCAUGGUUCAAUAGUGAAAGACGGUUUUGCUGUCACUUAUAGAUGGAUCCGCGCCGCAUUAGCUAGUUGGUAAGGUAACGGCUUACCAAGGCAACGAUGCGUAGCCGACCUGAGAGGGUGAUCGGCCACACUGGAACUGGGACACGGUCCAGACUCCUACGGGAGGCAGCAGUAGGGAAUCUUCCGCAAUGGGCGAAAGCCUGACGGAGCAACGCCGCGUGAGUGAUGAAGGUCUUCGGAUCGUAAAACGCUGUUAUUAGGGAAGAACAAAUGUGUAAGUAACUAUGCACGUCUUGACGGUACCUAAUCAGAAAGCCACGGCUAACUACGUG